GUAGCUGGCCUCUCGGGGCAUGUGCACGCCCGAGCCCUUAAUCCACACCCACCUGUGAACCUAUUGUAAGGGCCCGUGAAAAGGCCUUUACGUCUUUAUAAACCCAUCGUAUGUCUCAUAGAAUGUAAUUAUAUGUCCUCGCCUUAAAAAAGCGUUGAUAAACUUAUACAACUUUCAACAACGGAUCUCUUGGCUCUCGCAUCGAUGAAGAACGCAGCGAAAUGCGAUAAGUAAUGUGAAUUGCAGAUUUUCAGUGAAUCAUCGAAUCUUUGAACGCACCUUGCGCUCCUUGGUAUUCCGAGGAGCAUGCCUGUUUGAGUGUCAUUAAAUUCUCAACCCCGAUCGAUUUGUUUCGACUUCGGGGCUUGGAUCUGGAGCGUGCUGGCGUCGGUCGGCUCCUCUUAAAUGCAUCAGCGGAAUCUAACGUUUCGGACGUCAGUGUGAUAAUCAUGUUGCGCUGUCUGUCUGAUCCGAAAGCCCGCUCANAAUGGUCUUCGGACAACUUU
rnacentral:rRNA from 1 species